rnacentral:rRNA from 1 species
CCAGACUCCUACGGGAGGCAGCAGUGGGGAAUAUUGGGCAAUGGGCGCAAGCCUUACCCAGCAAUACCGCGUGAGUGAAGAAGGUCUUCGGAUUGUAAAGCUCUUUGAUCAGGGACGAACAGAUGACGGUACCUGAAGAACAAGCUCCGGCUAACUACGUGCCAGCAGCCGCGGUAAUACGUAGGGAGCAAGCGUUGUCCGGAAUUACUGGGCGUAAAGGGCGCGUAGGUGGGCGCUUAAGUCAGGUGUGAAAACUCCGGGCUCAACCUGGAGACUGCACUUGAAACUGGGUGUCUUGAGGGCAGGAGAGGAAAGUGGAAUUCCUAGUGUAGCGGUGAAAUGCGUAGAUAUUAGGAGGAACACCAGUGGCGAAGGCGACUUUCUGGACUGUACCUGACGCUGAGGCGCGAAAGCGUGGGUAGCGAACGGGAUUAGAUACCCCAGUA